AAUAUCUAACCUGUACCUACCACAACUUCCCAUGGCAACGGACGUUGGUAGUAACUCAUAGUAACCAGGCUCUCAACCAGCUCUUCGAGAAGGUGGCAGAACUCGAUGUUGAUGAGAGACAUUUACUGCGUCACGGUGAAGAGGAAUUGCAGACGGAUAAAUAUUUCUCAAGCUAUCCGCCCUCUACGAGCUUCGGCUUGGGGUAACGGGCCGUGGGGACACGACGGAAGCGGGUCGCAAUUUGCAAACGGUAUUGCAGUCCCAACAAGAUAAGCUAAGAGUUACUGGAGCAGGAGAAUUGUGUAGCGGCGAAGACAAAGAGAAGUAGGACGAGGGGCAAGUGGAAUGCAGCGUAAAAAUAAUGGAACACCACUCACCUAAAGUCCUCCGUCUCUUCACCUGUCUUCGUGAAAGAAGACCACAAAUAAAACUAUAUGCACAAAAGAAGAAGCGUAAGCGCAAGCGAAAGCAAACACGUGACCUCGCGGCGGCGGGUGAAUCUUCUCUGCGGCGCGGGAGCAUGUAGAUUGUAGAAUGCGGUCCCCUCCUUCUACACUUUAAUACCGCAAAAGAGAAAGAGUGGUGUUUAGGAAAUGGGUGCGGUAAGGAUAGAGAAUGUGAUCAGAGAGGACUAAAGAGCUGCGAUGGAGGCUCCAUGUGUUUGGAGCUGGCGCUGGAAGGCGAAAGACUUUGCAAGGCGGGAGAUUGCCGCGCAGGUGUUGCCUUUUUCCAAGCAGCCAUACAGGCAGGCACUGAUGACCUGCGAACUUUGAGUGCUAUAUACAGCCAGCUUGGCAAUGCUUACUUCUACAUACAACAUGAUCUCACAUUAGCUAGGACCAUGGAAGACAAGUUAGGCGAAGCAAAGGCUUCUGGUAAAUUAGGAAACACAUUAAAAGUGAUGGGCAAGUGGACACUUGGAGAUAUCAAGAACAUUGGGAGAUAAGUUAAGCGAAGGGCGAGCUUUAUACAACCUUGGCAAUGUUUACCACGCCCAGGGCAAGCAUUUAGGACGCGCGGGACAAAGAGAUCCGGGACACUUUCCGCAAGAAGUACGUGACUGCCUCCUGCAAGCUGUCACUUACUAUGAAGAGAACUUGGAGUUGAUGCGCAGCGUAGGCGAUAGGCAAGCAGCGGGUCGGGCGUGUGGCAACCUCGGCAACACUUGCUACCUUUUGGGAGAUUUUGCGAAGGCGAUCCGGUACUAUAAAGAGAGGCUUCGGAUUGCCCAAGAAGUGUAAUUAAGUUUUGUGUAAUGUAUUGAAAUUUGUAAACAAUCCGCCAUUUUCUACUUUUCU